UACGGAGGGUGCAAGCGUUAUCCGGAAUUAUUGGGCGUAAAGAGCUCGUAGGCGGUUUGUCGCGUCUGCUGUGAAAACUGGAGGCUCAACCUCCAGCCUGCAGUGGGUACGGGCAAACUAGAGUGCGGUAGGGGGAGACUGGAAUUCCUGGUGUAGCGGUGAAAUGCGCAGAUAUCAGGAGGAACACCGAUGGCGAAGGCAGGUCUCUGGAACGGUACUGACGCUGAGACGCGAAAGCGUGGGGAGCGAACAGG
rnacentral:rRNA from 1 species